UUAGCGGAUGACUUGUGGCUGGGGGUGAAAGGCCAAUCAAACCGGGAGAUAGCUGGUUCUCCCCGAAAGCUAUUUAGGUAGCGCCUCGUGAAUUCAUCUCCGGGGGUAGAGCACUGUUUCGGCAAGGGGGUCAUCCCGACUUACCAACCCGAUGCAAACUGCGAAUACCGGAGAAUGUUAUCACGGGAGACACACGGCGGGUGCUAACGUCCGUCGUGAAGAGGGAAACAACCCAGACCGCCAGCUAAGGUCCCAAAGUCAUGGUUAAGUGGGAAACGAUGUGGGAAGGCCCAGACAGCCAGGAUGUUGGCUUAGAAGCAGCCAUCAUUUAAAGAAAGCGUAAUAGCUCACUGGUCGAGUCGGCCUGCGCGGAAGAUGUAACGGGGCUAAACCAUGCACCGAAGCUGCGGCAGCGACGCUGAUGCGUUGUUGGGUAGGGGAGCGUUCUGUAAGCCUGCGAAGGUGUGCUGUGAGGCAUGCUGGAGGUAUCAGAAGUGCGAAUGCUGACAUAAGUAACGAUAAAGCGGGUGAAAAGCCCGCUCGCCGGAAGACCAAGGGUUCCUGUCCAACGUUAAUCGGGGCAGGGUGAGUCGACCCCUAAGGCGAGGCCGAAAGGCGUAGUCGAUGGGAAACAGGUUAAUAUUCCUGUACUUGGUGUUACUGCGAAGGGGGGACGGAGAAGGCUAUGUUGGCCGGGCGACGGUUGUCCCGGUUUAAGCGUGUAGGCUGGUUUUCCAGGCAAAUCCGGAAAAUCAAGGCUGAGGCGUGAUGACGAGGCACUACGGUGCUGAAGCAACAAAUGCCCUGCUUCCAGGAAAAGCCUCUAAGCAUCAGGUAACAUCAAAUCGUACCCCAAACCGACACAGGUGGUCAGGUAGAGAAUACCAAGGCGCUUGAGAGAACUCGGGUGAAGGAACUAGGCAAAAUGGUGCCGUAACUUCGGGAGAAGGCACGCUGAUAUGUAGGUGAAGUCCCUCGCGGAUGGAGCUGAAAUCAGUCGAAGAUACCAGCUGGCUGCAACUGUUUAUUAAAAACACAGCACUGUGCAAACACGAAAGUGGACGUAUACGGUGUGACGCCUGCCCGGUGCCGGAAGGUUAAUUGAUGGGGUUAGCGCAAGCGAAGCUCUUGAUCGAAGCCCCGGUAAACGGCGGCCGUAACUAUAACGGUCCUAAGGUAGCGAAAUUCCUUGUCGGGUAAGUUCCGACCUGCACGAAUGGCGUAAUGAUGGCCAGGCUGUCUCCACCCGAGACUCAGUGAAAUUGAACUCGCUGUGAAGAUGCAGUGUACCCGCGGCAAGACGGAAAGACCCCGUGAACCUUUACUAUAGCUUGACACUGAACAUUGAGCCUUGAUGUGUAGGAUAGGUGGGAGGCUUUGAAGUGUGGACGCCAGUCUGCAUGGAGCCGACCUUGAAAUACCACCCUUUAAUGUUUGAUGUUCUAACGUUGACCCGUAAUCCGGGUUGCGGACAGUGUCUGGUGGGUAGUUUGACUGGGGCGGUCUCCUCCUAAAGAGUAACGGAGGAGCACGAAGGUUGGCUAAUCCUGGUCGGACAUCAGGAGGUUAGUGCAAUGGCAUAAGCCAGCUUGACUGCGAGCGUGACGGCGCGAGCAGGUGCGAAAGCAGGUCAUAGUGAUCCGGUGGUUCUGAAUGGAAGGGCCAUCGCUCAACGGAUAAAAGGUACUCCGGGGAUAACAGGCUGAUACCGCCCAAGAGUUCAUAUCGACGGCGGUGUUUGGCACCUCGAUGUCGGCUCAUCACAUCCUGGGGCUGAAGUAGGUCCCAAGGGUAUGGCUGUUCGCCAUUUAAAGUGGUACGCGAGCUGGGUUUAGAACGUCGUGAGACAGUUCGGUCCCUAUCUGCCGUGGGCGCUGGAGAACUGAGGGGGGCUGCUCCUAGUACGAGAGGACCGGAGUGGACGCAUCACUGGUGUUCGGGUUGUCAUGCCAAUGGCACUGCCCGGUAGCUAAAUGCGGAAGAGAUAAGUGCUGAAAGCAUCUAAGCACGAAACUUGCCCCGAGAUGAGUUCUCCCUGACUCCUUGAGAGUCCUGAAGGAACGUUGAAGACGACGACGUUGAUAGGCC
rnacentral:rRNA from 1 species